rnacentral:rRNA from 1 species
UACGGGAGGCAGCAGUGGGGAAUAUUGCACAAUGGGCGCAAGCCUGAUGCAGCCAUGCCGCGUGUAUGAAAAAGGCCUUCGGGUUGUAAAGUACUUUCAGUCGUGAGGAAGGUGUUAAGGUUAAUAACCUUAGCAAUUGACGUUAGCGACAGAAGAAGCACCGGCUAACUCCGUGCCAGCAGCCGCGGUAAUACGGAGGGUGCGAGCGUUAAUCGGAAUUACUGGGCGUAAAGCGUGCGUAGGUGGUUUUGUUAGUCUGAUGUGAAAGCCCUGGGCUCAACCUGGGAAUGGCAUUGGAAACUGGCUUACUAGAGUGCGGUAGAGGGGUGUGGAAUUCCCGGUGUAGCAGUGAAAUGCGUAGAUAUCGGGAGGAACAUCUGUGGCGAAGGCGACACCCUGGGACCAGCACUGACACUGAGGCACGAAAGCGUGGGGAGCAAACAGGGAUUAGAAUAACCCG